rnacentral:rRNA from 1 species
GGACUACCCGGGUAUCUAAUCCUGUUCGCUACCCACGCUUUCGUGCCUCAGCGUCAAUUGUGGCUUAGUGAGCUGCCUUCGCAAUCGGUGUUCUACAUCAUAUCUAAGCAUUUCACCGCUACAUGAUAUAUUCCGCCCACUUCAACCAUAUUCAAGCUUAUCAGUUUCAAUGGCAAUUUCACAGUUAAGCUGUAAGCUUUCACCACUGACUUAAUAAGCCGCCUACGCACCCUUUAAACCCAGUGAAUCCGGAUAACGCUUGCACCCUCCGUAUUACCGCGGCUGCUGGCAC